AUGGGCAUCAGCCUGGCGUUCAUGGCGGUGCUCAAAGGACCACCGGUCCGGAGAUAUGGGCAGGUCGACAUCUUCGUCAUGGGGAUCGGCAGUGGCGGUACCGCCACGGGGGUCGGCAAGUACCUCAAGGAGAAGAACCCCAAUGCCAAGAUCUUUGGAGUUGAACCUGCUGAAGCAAAUGUUGUGAAUGGUGGCAAGCCAGGGCCUCACCUCAUCACUGGAAAUGGAGUGGGAUUUAAGCCAGAUAUUUUGGACAUGGACAUAAUGGAUUAG
rnacentral:rRNA from 1 species